rnacentral:lncRNA from 1 species
GUGAUUGAACCCAGGGCCUUUUCCAUACUAGGCAAAUGUUCUACCACGAAGCUACACCCUCUGAGCCAGAACACAUUAUUGAUAGGGAAAAAUCUAGACCACUUCAGAUAUUUUCCAUCUUAUUUUUCUUUCUGGUUUCUUCCUCCUCUCCUUCUACUUUGUCUUCUAAAACAAGAUCUAAACCUCAACAAUGAAUACUUUAAAAGAGAAAUCUGUGAAACAUAACAAAGAAUACUGUUUCUCUAGAAAAAACGACAGAGAAAGAGAUUUGUUUUCCAGAAAGCAAAAUCUGGAGGGAACAUAAAAGUCUUCUCCCCGCUGUAGAUUUCCAGCCGGGUUUGUGCACAGAGCCUGUUUUUCUCUCUUUGACAGUCUUGAUCUUCUCUACGUUUGAUUUACAGAGUGCUGUCAUUUCUCUGCUCUUUACUUUCACAAUCACACAUUCAAACCUGAUAAAGUUCAAGACCUUGAAUACUUGCAGCUCUCCCAGAGUCACAGUCCUCCUGCCCCCCACCCUGGCCAGCCGGCCCCUGAGGCUGAUUGAAUCCUCAUGGACAGAAGCCACUGGGGAUCAGCAAAGAGCCAGCCGGUCCAGGAGGGUCAUGCUCAUGGGACAGGAAGCCUGAGCUCCUAUUUGCUGUUCUCCACAGCAAACCUUGGUAGCUUCCUUCCCCUAGGCAGAUUGUCAGCAUCUAGUUUAUAACCUACCUGUGGGCAAAUACAAGAACUGUAACUUGCAACAUUUACAAAUGUUUAAAAUCAAGUGCAAAAUCAGGGCCUGCAUGAGUGCUGGAUUUUGCUGGAUCUACCAAACCGCCUGUGAUCUAGGGCAAGGCACUUAACCUCUUGUGCCUCAGUUGCUCCAUCCAUAAAAUGGCAGAAAUAUUACUUUCUGCAAACAUUCAUCACAAACUAAUGACUCGGGUGCUCCUUCCCAUACUCUGUCCUCUGUCAGGGUUUCAGGAAGACCAUGUGCAUCUAUCUGAUCUGGCUCUUUGGUUUCUGUCAGGUUAAAUACAAACUUAGUCAUUAAUCUAAAUACUCUACCAGUGGGCCAAACAAAUGGAAUGAUUCAUCUCCAAAGGCCGAACAGUUAACUUAGACUCACGUUUUCAAGCCACUGAAAUAUCUCCUGAUGGAAAAUGCUAUCUUAAAUAAUUUAUCCUGUGCUUGUACAUAUAGAAAUACACUAAAUCACAUUACACUGACCAAAAGCCACCACCAAGGAUGGACAACUUUAUUCUCAAUAUGGAUCCUAUAUGAGAACUUCAUAUUUACUAAGUAAGUCAUUCUUUUGCAUGAGUUGACAUUUGCAUGUAUCUUGAAGUAUUAGAAUUUUCCGGUCUGUAGCUCAGUGGUAGAAUGCAUGUUUAGCACAUGCAAGGCCCUGAGUUCAAUCCCCAGAACCACCAAAAGAAGGAGAAGAAUUUUCUGAUUAAGGUAGACACCUUAAGUAGUAGCAUUUAUCUCUCUGUGUGUGUGUGUAUGUGUGUGUGUGUGAGAGAGAGAGAGAGAGAGAGAGAUAUCACUGUUUCAAGUCUGUAAAUUUAAAAAAAAAUUACAAUCUCCUCUUAAGAUGUUAACUGUCAUAAUAUCUAAGGGAACAAGUAUAUUAAUCAGGGAAGGAAGCAGUUGUCACCUGUUCCACAAGGCAUUUUUUUUUAAACCUGUCUGGUCAGGAGAUGCUCAUUAGAAUAUAUUACAAAGUUACCUUUUCCUGAUCAUAAUAUUAUUCAUUUCUACCUAAGCAAAUAAUAUCCAAUAACUUUUUCUGGCUACUUCUAAGCUAGAUUACUACUCUGUUUAUACUACCACAAAUUAAAGGCAUGCAAUUAUCCAACAAAAACAGUGUGAAUAUUCCAUCCUUUUAAAAGACUGACCACCUUGGAGCUUGGGCCCAGCAAAGUCCAGCCAAAAACCACCCUGUGGAUACACUAGUAAAGCUGUCCACCUUUCCAUUUCAAAGGCAUCUUUCUGUCAGAGCUCAACAUUCUGAUUGGGGGCGUGGCUCAGUGGUGCUGGGUUCCAUCCCCAGCACCACAAAAAACAAAACAAACCAAAAAAACCCUCAACAUUCUCUGGCAUCAAUGAAAUAGGCAGCCUGCAGGCAUGAGUUCAAAUCUCAGCCAUGCAUCUCCCUGUCCCUCUUUAGUUUAUGCAACCUUAUGCAAAUCCUUAAUCUCCCUACUUCUCAUUUUCCUCAUCUGUAAAAAAGAGGGUGGUAGUAACAGUAGCUGAUUCAUAGGAUUGGCAGGCCAUUUGAAGUAUUUGAUAGGUAAAAACAUAAAUUUCUUUUCUUCUUUUUCUUGUUUUUGGUUUUGGGGUUUUUUUUUGGGGGGGGGUGUACCUGGGAUUGAACCCAGAGGCACCUAACCACCCGAGCCACAUCCCUAGCCCUUUUCAUUUUUUGAAUUUUGAGACCAGGCUUGCUUAGUUGCUUAGGGCCUCUCUAAAUUGCUGAGGCUGUGUUUGAACUUGAGAUCCUCCUGCCUCAGCCUCCCAGACCACUGGGAUUAUAGGCAUGUGACACCACACCCAGCAAAAACAUGAACUUCUAUUUCAGGUCAUUUGUUAAGGAGAGGGAAGUAAGGAGAAUAGGGAAGGCAUCAAGGGUUCAAAACUGUGAGGUAGGAAGGUGGUCCUGAGAAUUGCCAAUGAGGAAGGAAAUUAUCCCUGAGUACAUUCACUAGAAGAUGGGCCUCAAGGAUGAAAACCUUUUCCAACAAAGAGAUCACUGUUGGGUAGUACGAGGGCCAAGUAAUGACUGAAUCUCUCAAAGCAAAUGAAAGUGAGAUUUUAGGCAUUAAAGUGGACCCAAAACUAAUAAAACUAGUACAGAAUACUAGAGUGUAAGCUCUACAAAGCUGGAAUUUUUCUUUUCUUUUUGGUACUGAGUUUCUUAGGGCCUCAUUCACAUAUGUGAAGACUCAUGCAUGGCCAUGAGAACUCAUGGAACAUUCUCCGUAAACUUGCCCCUCACUUCUCUGACCUAGAAACAUCACCAGCCUCCUGGAUGUGCCAUCAGCUAUGGUUUGGGUGUGUAUCGAAAUUUACCUGUUGGAAACUUGAUCCCAAAAUGCAUAUGUUGAUGAGUUUCAGAGGUGGGGCUUUGAGGGGUAAUUAGGAUUCCAUGAGCUCAUGCAAAAGAGAACAGAGCUAGCGGCUGGCUCUUGUCUGGACAUGUGACAACCUUGUGUCAGAUGUCAUCUGCAGGGUCCCUUAGCAGAUGCAAGCCUGAGUUCUUAGACCUCGCAGCCUCCAGAACCCUGAGCCAGACAAACUUUUAUUCAUUAAAAAGUAUUUCAUCUCCAGCAUUCAGUUAUAGCCACAGAAAACAAACGAAGACUGCCACUAAUAGUAAUUCUCACUUACCAGCAGCCCUGCUCUGCACACCCAGGCCAUUGACAAAUCAAUCCCAAGCCACUGUUGCUUACUUUUGUUUACCUUACUUUUGUUUAUCUCUCCAGUCCCUGGCCAUCUCUUCCCUGGACUAUGCAGGCCUCCCAGAAAGCAGAGAUUUGAGUGCAGGAUCCUGAUGUUGGAGCAGCAAGUAAAUCUACCUGGCAUUCAGACUUGACUGAUGAGUCAUCACCUCUACUUUGGAAGUCCCUCUCUCUAUCUCCUGAGGCCUGAUUCUCACCCCAAUCCUCCUCACUGUCCCACCUGUUCAUUCAUUUGUUCGUUCUUUCUUUUUCAUGUAGGGGUGAGGGUGCUGCAAUUUCAACCCAGGCACAUGUUAGGCAAAUGCUCAACCACUGAGCUACCUUCUGGGCCCUUCUUUUCUUUUCUUUUCUUUUUUUUUUUUUUUCCUUAUUUUAUUUUGAGACAGGUUCUCACUGAGUGGAGUUGCUGAAGCUGGCCUCCAACUUGCAAUCCUCCUACCUAAGCCUCCUGAGCUGCUGAGAUUACAGGCGUACACCACCAUGCCUGACUCUGUUUCUCAAACUGUGGGAUAGAAUUUAGAUGUGAUGGCAGGUACUGAAGCAGUCAUGUACUACGAGGGGACAACAGCCACAUGUUGCACCAAAUGACAGCAAAAUAGAGAGUUUCGGUCUCAGAGACCAUGGAGCUUUAGAAGAGGAUCACUUUGUCUCAGAUCAAAAUAAUUGUUAUCAAAACAAGUUGGAAGUCAUUUCUGUCUCAUGUAACAGCCUGAAACUAUAUUAAUAAAUAUGAAUAUAUAUAUGAGUCUAUCUGACUAUGAUGUGUGGUCUAUGAUACUGAAACAAAGUGUAGCCAUC